CUCGUACCUGGGUCCCUCUGCGGUACCGACAGCAGCACCCGCAACACGCCUCCGAGGCCCGGGGCUGGCGGGAGCGCUGCGUCCUCUCACCUCUCACCCGGGAAGGCGGCGGCGGCCGUGAUCGCGGAGACCCCGGCCGUACCUCAGGUGCCCCGAGGCUUUGGUGACGGAGGCCCCCUGUAAGACCACGAAUGGGGGGAACGCGGCGGCCUCUGGACGCUAAUGCAUUUUGGGGAGCAGAGCCUGCCCGUCCCGCCGCAGAUCCGCACGCCAGCGGCUCCGGAGCGCUGAUUACUCAGGUCCACAGGCUGUGCCCGGGGGGAACGCUCCCACACACCACAUCCUGGAAAUGAACGGCAUAGGCGGCACAAGUGCAAAAGAAGAACAUCAGCAGUGGUGCACUGUUCUCGAGGAGGUCUCUGGAUUCGACCCCGACGCCUGUCAAAUUAACUUUUAUAAAAUGUAGAAACACAAACUAGCCAUUAUAUUUUCAAAAUGCAAGUCAAUUUUUAAAAAGUACAGGGAAAUUGAUAAUUACACAAUGAUAAAAAUCCAGUAGCUUACUGGAGUCCUGUCCGCUUUUAGAGAUAGAUGUGACAGCUGAAUAAUUUCUACUAAUAAAAUACAUAUUAUUAAUAUUUCUACUAAUAAAAUACAAAGUUGGCAUUCGUAGGAGCUCUGUGGUGGGAUUUUCUUUUCUAGUGCCAAAGGCCAUAAGGCCACAGACCUUUUUUCCAGUUAUAGAGACCUCACACAUAGAGUGUCUUUAUUUCUGGGGAGAACACAGGAAUAAAAUGCUUAUUACAAUGAAAUGCUUUAAAUUUCAUUAUUACAUUUAAAACUGUAGCAUACCCAGCACAGCUCUCUUUCAGAGCCAAAGCUGUGUAUCUCCCAAGGGAUGGAUCCUUGAUAAGAGGUAUGUCACACCAGUUUCCUGCAAAGACCUGGACGGUGCUAUUAGGCACUUCCCAACCAGCUGCAAAUACCUGUAGAAAACAGCAGACUGAGGCCUCAACCAUCCUAUGUGGACCAAAUAAUUUUUUCCAAUUUGAAAGAAUAUCUUUCCUAGAUACAUUGAUCCAGUUCACAACAGGUUCACAUCUUUCCUACCAAGGACUUGAGAGCUGGAUGAAGCACUCCACGUGAGAUCUCACGUGAGCUGAGUGGAGUGAGGGGCAGAAUCACCUCUGUCACCUGCUGCCCACACUGCUUUUGAUGCAGCCCAGGACAUGGCUGGCUUCUGAGCUGCCAGCACACAUGGCCAGGACAUGUCCAGCCUCUCAUACAACAGAACCCCCAAGUCCUUCUCAGCAGAGUUUCUCUUGAUCUGUUCGUUAGAAUUAUGUCAGCCCAAGCCACUUAUCAAGCUUGUCCAGACCCCAGUCCUCAGGUGUGGCAACUGUAUGACUCAGUUUGGUGUCAUCUGCAAACCUGCUGUGUUAAAAUUUAAAGUGCAAAGAAAUUUGUCUCUACUUUUUUGGACUUUCAAAAUCUCACUUGAAAAAGCUGCAAAUUUGUAGGCUUUUUAAUUUUUAUCCCAGAAAGGUUGAUUCCGUUGUAUUUAUACUACUAAAUGGCUAGACUCUGUGCUCCAUAAAGUCUGUUCAAUUAUAUUACCAUUCAUUCACAAAUAAAACAUGCAUGCUGCCUUUGAGCUAAAACAUUCCUUCUGUACCUCUGCUAUUCUUUUUCAUAAUAUUUUAUUGUCAACAGCAUACAUACCCUGCACAUUUUUAAACUUACCACCAAUGCUAUUACUGUUGUAGUAAACAAACUUUUUUUUACAUUAAAGUAUUUAAUUAGCAAAACAAUCAUUAUUAUCAAUGUAACAAACUGAAAAAUGCAGCAACUCGAUACAAGACUGAGGUAACAAAAUUGCCAAAAACCUAGAUUUCAACACCAGAGUUCUUACAGGUGAGACAGUUCACAAGAAUUAUAGAAAGAAUCCUUUACACAAAUGGCAUGCAGUGGACUGCUGGAAAACACAGCCAAAUUUAGUGCAACAGUUUCCACACAAAACAAACCAAAAUUUUGAAAUUGAUUAACAUUAUAGUGUGACAAAUCAGUCUCACUUUGAAAACUAGUUUCUUUGCCUCAUUUUAGUGCUAUUUGGAAAAACAUGCAUUUUGGCACUGAAUGACAUAAAAAUUAAUAAAUAAAAAUAAAUAAUGGUUAAUUAAAUAAUAAAAAUUAAAAAUUAAUUAAAUUAAUUAAUACAUUCAAUAAACGAAUAAUAUUACCUAUAGUUAUUAUAUCUUCACAAUUCUGAAAAUGGUAAUUAUGAGAUAAUGUUUACUUUUACAUAACUAUUGUAGUUGUUCUCUUUGAUGGAGAAAAAACUUGUACGGCUUGUGAUUUUUUUUUUUUUGUGGAUAUGCUGUAACAAUCAGUAGUGACAGGCAACCUAUUAUAUUUCAAUAGCAGCUUUCAAUUAACCAUAGAACUACCUGGUAAUAGCAAAUGGUACCAAAUGGCAUUGUUACACCUCUAAUCAGCAGCUACAAACUGUUUAAUACUUGAAGACUAAUUUAAAAUUGUUUUAAGAUGUUUUACUAGUAUUCUUUCACUGCCAUCAAUCCGAAUUUCUCAAUACUGUGCAGAAAUUUCACAGUUGUGCUAUACGGGAAAGAUGUUUAAUCUCAUUGAUGACGAAUCACAAAAAUCCACAGGUGCAGAACAAUUCA